rnacentral:rRNA from 1 species
GACGAACGCUGGCGGCGUGCCUAAUACAUGCAAGUCGAGCGAACUUUUAAAAGCUUGCUUUUAAAAGUUAGCGGCGGACGGGUGAGUAACACGUGGGCAACCUGCCUGUAAGACUGGGAUAACUUCGGGAAACCGGAGCUAAUACCGGAUAAUUCUUUUCUACACAUGUAGAAAAGCUAAAAGACGGUUUCGGCUGUCACUUACAGAUGGGCCCGCGGCACAUUAGCUAGUUGGUGAGGUAACGGCUCACCAAGGCAACGAUGCGUAGCCGACCUGAGAGGGUGAUCGGCCACACUGGGACUGAGACACGGCCCAGACUCCUACGGGAGGCAGCAGUAGGGAAUCUUCCGCAAUGGACGAAAGUCUGACGGAGCAACGCCGCGUGAGUGAUGAAGGUUUUCGGAUCGUAAAACUCUGUUGUUAGGGAAGAACAAGUAUGAGAGUAACUGCUCGUACCUUGACGGUACCUAACCAGAAAGCCACGGCUAACUACGUGCCAGCCGCCGCAGUAACAC